CGGCCAGUAAUACUUCUCCUGAACCUUCUUCAGAGUUUUAUAGUACCCGAAAUGCGCAAUGCUGUGCUCCGCCUCCAGGAUUUUUAUGCGGUCAACUUUAGGUGGAAUGUACUUCCACUCGUAUCGAGGAUCUGCCGGAUUAACGCUAGGAACAUAUUUAUACACGUUCCCUCGGAUGACUUUGAAGUCUUUAUAUUUUGCCUGGUCCCGUUCGAUAUUCCUCUGUAACUUCUCCAGAUCCAGAUCAAUUGUAAGUAUAUCUUUAUCUUUUACCGCUCUUGAUAGUGCAUCUGCCACAAUAUUCAAUUUACCCUUCCUAUAUUCCAGGGUAAUGUCAUGUUGCUGCAGCUUCAACGCCCAUCUUACUAAUCGGGCGGAGUUUCCUUCGACACUUACUUGGUUUAACCAUUUCAAGGAUUGGGCAUCGGUAACGACUGUAAAGUGUGUGCCUUCGAUGUAAUGACGGAAUUUUUCAAUCGCCAAGAUUACAGCAAGGCAUUCACGCUCUGUUGCUGAGUACUUCUUUUGCGUGGCCGAAAAUUUUUUUGAAAAGAAUGCAAUUGGACGUCUAAUUCCUUCUUGGUACUGAACCAGUACUGCACCUGCGGCGACUUUUGAUGCAUCGGAUUCUACGACGAACUUUAGCCUGAAAUCUGGAUUAGUCAAAACUGGUGGUGACAUUUCAAUCCAACUUAAUACUCAAUCCUAAACCCCCACGUUGGGCGCCAAAUGUAACAGGUCACUAAAGGAACCGUGUUUCAGGGGUUGAAACUGCCUUCACUUCGCGCCAAACAACGGGAUGAAUCCCAAUUGUAUGUGAAGCAGCAAGAUUUCGUUUGCCCGGCGAGACUCAGGGCGAGUCCAUCAAAUUCCCCGAAUUACUUCCCUAGUUACUCCGCGAACACAUCAGCUGCCACCCAACACCAAUAUCGUGAAAAAACCUUGGAAGACGGUAAUCAUGAAUCGUUUUACACCCCACCAAAUAACUACUCUCUCUUUCUUCUCGGUAAUACCAUAAAACUGUAUUUGGGCUUGAAAGGGUUAACAUCGAUCACUGUUCUACUCGUAGAACUCUACUAAACCGACCUAUACCACUAUCUAUUUCCAAGCGCUUGGAUUUUAAACUUCUCUAUGGCACUAAACGUAUUCUAACAACACCAUUGAUAUUUCUU